GGGCGGGUGGCGGAACGGUAGACGCGCUACGUUCAGGUCGUAGUGGGAGCAAUCCCGUGGAGGUUCGAUUCCUCUCCCGCCCA
rnacentral:tRNA from 1 species